rnacentral:rRNA from 2 species
GAGCGGUAGAGAGAAGCUUGCUUCUCUUGAGAGCGGCGGACGGGUGAGUAAUACCUAGGAAUCUGCCUGAUAGUGGGGGAUAACGUUCGGAAACGGACGCUAAUACCGCAUACGUCCUACGGGAGAAAGCAGGGGACCUUCGGGCCUUGCGCUAUCAGAUGAGCCUAGGUCGGAUUAGCUAGUUGGUGAGGUAAUGGCUCACCAAGGCUACGAUCCGUAACUGGUCUGAGAGGAUGAUCAGUCACACUGGAACUGAGACACGGUCCAGACUCCUACGGGAGGCAGCAGUGGGGAAUAUUGGACAAUGGGCGAAAGCCUGAUCCAGCCAUGCCGCGUGUGUGAAGAAGGUCUUCGGAUUGUAAAGCACUUUAAGUUGGGAGGAAGGGCAUUAACCUAAUACGUUAGUGUUUUGACGUUACCGACAGAAUAAGCACCGGCUAACUCUGUGCCAGCAGCCGCGGUAAUACAGAGGGUGCAAGCGUUAAUCGGAAUUACUGGGCGUAAAGCGCGCGUAGGUGGUUUGUUAAGUUGAAUGUGAAAUCCCCGGGCUCAACCUGGGAACUGCAUCCAAAACUGGCAAGCUAGAGUAUGGUAGAGGGUAGUGGAAUUUCCUGUGUAGCGGUGAAAUGCGUAGAUAUAGGAAGGAACACCAGUGGCGAAGGCGACUACCUGGACUGAUACUGACACUGAGGUGCGAAAGCGUGGGGAGCAAACAGGAUU